rnacentral:rRNA from 1 species
AUACGGGGGGUGCAAGCGUUAUUCGGAUUUAUUGGGCGUAAAGGGCGCGUAGGCGGCUUGGAAAGUCAGAUGUGAAAGCCCGGGGCUCAACCCCGGAAGUGCAUUUGAGACUAUCAGGCUUGAGUAUGGGAGAGGGAAGUGGAAUUCCUGGUGUAGAGGUGAAAUUCGUAGAUAUCAGGAGGAACACCGGUGGCGAAGGCGACUUCCUGGACCAAUACUGACGCUGAGGCGCGAAGGCGUGGGGAGCAAACAGGAUUAGAAACCCCGGUAGUCC